CCUUGGAUGUCGCUUCUGCUCCUGUUCGUGAGAAGAGGGGAAGUCAUGCGGUAGCUAUAACGCCCGUCUUAAACCUGUCGCUUCCCUGCUUGAGCCGAAGAGUUCUCGGGGAAGUUUGCCUAAGCGGGUCUUCUUCCGACGGGACUCGGAUCCUCUCAGCUCGGAGAGAUUGUUAGACAUUGGCAUGAGAGGAGACACGGGCUAAGAAUAGGAAUGCCAAGAUUGCAGGAUGAUCAACAAGUGACAUGUUUUCCAAGGGGCAUCAGAGAGGCUCUCUUACCUUCUUUGUUGCUGCAAGCUCCUCCUCCAAAGCAUCCACACGCUUCACAGCGGCAUUCAGUAUCUCUUCCUUCUCAGCCGGCAACUCUACAGGCUUCGCACUGAGUUCAGCCACCUUCUCUUCAAGCUCACUGAGGCGCUUCACGACACCAGAGAACUCAGCAGCUGAGAUGGCCGGUGCAGACUGCUCGCUCUGUUGCAUUUGGCCUUUAAGCAUCGUGCCGGCCAACUCAAGAGACCUCGCGUAGUCGAUAUCUGCAUUAGACAUCUUCUUUGGCACGGUGUUGCCUCCUACGCGGAUCAUGGUGACAAGUCCCAUGACAAAGGCCAUAACUCCAGCCAACACAUGGUUGCUGACUCCAUCUGGUCCUCUGUAGAUUUCAGAUAGAUUGUAGGCACCUGCAGUGAAAGGUGGAUCAUUGGAAGCUCAUCAGUGGAAAUCUCAACAGUUCCAAUGUGUAAUCGGCUAAGGAUGAUGAUGAUAUGGACCUUUGGACAUGGCAAACUUUUGACUAAGCAUUUGCUUCUUCCAGGUUGCAUCCAUAGCCUUGUCCACAAUUGGAAUCAGAUCAUUAUAUGAGUAGGUUGGGAAUUCCUUGAGUGCAGCCUCGACGUCCAAAUUCUUCUGGAAAGGUAUUAGUGUUAGAAAUGAUAAGAUCAAUAGCAACUGCAAGUCUGAUUCACUUGGAACUUUGAAUCCUUUUGUGUUCCUGAAAUUUCAGAUACUGAAUUCUUGAUGAGUUCAGUAAUAUCAUGGAGUUCUACUUUUGCUUAACAGAUGUAUCAGGAAGAAGUUCCAGUCAGUAUCUCUGGCUCAAUCCACAAAGGGAAAAUAUUACUUCUGUUCCAAGUUGAUUCAUUUGAUGAAGAUUAAUUUAGUUUUUGUGGUGCUAAUCAACAACUAAAGAUUACCUCAGCUUCUGUAUUGUUGACUUCUUCAUGAAGAGGUGACAAUUGUGGGUGCUCAAUCUGACUCCUUGACAUCUUGGGAGAAGCAGAGGACAUUUCAUCAGCAGCAAAGGCAGAUGGCCCUCGGAAAGACUCGUGCCUCUUCAUGUUGGGGAAAUUUUUUUGUCAGUGAUCAGAAACAUGAAGCUCCAAUGAACAUUAACACAGGAAGAAAUGGUGAUUAAUUAUCACCUUUGAAUACACAAUGUCAUCCUCAGAAAUGGUCUUCUCCUCAACUGCAGGAGUCAUUUGUUGCCUUCCACAUUGUCCCAUACCACUCUGAACCAUCUGUGUAUGCCGUGAAUUCAUCGAAAUCGUGCUUAAAAUGUUAAUGCAAUUGUUUUGAGCAUACAAUUAGUGCAAAAACGGAGGAGAAGAAAACCUCACCUUUAAGAUCUCAGGGUCCUUCCAUGGGCCCUUGUCUGAUCGAAGACAACCUCCUUCACAGUUGCAGGUGCCACCAAGGAACUCCGGCAACUCACUUGUAAAUCCCAAAAGAAUUAUGAUCAAACACAACUAUUUCUCAAAAGCUUGCAGUAAGAUUUGUUCAUCAUCUAUUGGAAGAUACCUGGCAUCAAUCACUUCAAGCAGCUUGCUCUGGUACUUGUUUCCAAGAACCUGAGGGGAGUUCUCAUCAGAUAUCUAAGUUCUUGUACUGAAUGCAAUCCAUGGUAUCUAUCAACAGCUUACAUGGAUUUUCGCGGUGGUCUUUGGGUCAAGGAAGGACUUGACAGUGUUCCAAAGCAGUCUGAAUCCCUGUCCUGCAUUGACGAUGAACAUGCGGCACAAAGUCUGCAGUUGGGGAAAGAAUCACACCUCAUGAUCACUUGAAAUGCCAUCAGUACAUUUUGUUGAAUUGUUUCAUUCCCUGUCAUCAAAAGCCAUUCCAUACACAUUCUGAUUCGUGAACAUCACCGGAGGAGGAUAGGAUCUGAGAAGGGAAAACAAGGCAUCUGAUGCAUACCACUCCUUGCACAUCAAUGAUGGUCGUGCUCUGGUCGAUGUGCCGUUUUGCUGCAAUCGAACAGGCAGGAAACUUGACGACGAAGGUCCUCUCAAACUCCUUCACAUGGCCGGCCUUCCUUAUCGACUCCAUGGUGGCCUUGCGGGUAGUAUUCCAAGACUUCCCCGAGUUCCUUGAAAUCAAAAUCCUAGUAGGAGGAGAACGUAUCAGAGCUACAAUCUUAUGAGUUGAAGCCGGUAGAACAGUCAAUAAAAGGAGGAGUUACAUCCAAAAUUGUGUCAGCUCCAAAUUCCUUCCUCCAUUGGAGCAUAUCAGUCCACAUUUGCUUUGUCUUCUCAAUGUCAAAUUUCCUGGCCUUGAGAAAUCUGCACCACAGAGACGCCACACUGAGUAUCCAUUGCUCCAUGGAUUUGAGCUGUGAAGUCAAGAGUAAUGUGUCCAAGUGAAGAGGAAAACCUGAGCAUUGUAUGGUAAUCAUCAUGCCUAGAAGGUAGCAUCUCCUCCAGAAUAAGAAUCUGACGGAAGGCAUCAACAGCCUGCAUCUCCUCGGCAUCACGCACGUCCUCGAUGGAGACAGACAUGACUUUGCUGCUCCUUCUUCCUCUUCUGUUCAAAGAAUUCCUGUACUUUGUGGAGGCAUUCAUUGCCUUCUUCGUUAGAGACUCGAUCUUAUUUCUCCUCUCAUCCUCGGAGUUCUCGACAUCUAUGUUACAUAAUUGAGAUCAUUAAAAGAAAUCUUGGUUAUAGA